UAGUAUAUGUUCUUAAUUUAUAGUUAAAUAGCCUUAUCAAUUUAUAUGGUUAUUUUGGUAAUAUACUAUCAACAUGAAUGUAGUUUAAUUGAUAUGUGAAUAUGAUAUGAGAUAUUGGUAUGAGUCUGUUAGUUAUUUGUUGAUGAAAAUCUGUAUGUGAAAGACUUGCUAGUUUUCUAGGGAAAAGACGAAUGAGCCCGGUACAUAGGGAACCUUACCGUGAAUGUUACUUUAGUGAAAUGGGACUGAGAAGUCCCUUACCAAAAAAGUUUGGGAGAUA
rnacentral:lncRNA from 1 species